ACUCCUACGGGAGGCAGCGGUGGGGAAUUUUCCGCAAUGGGCGAAAGCCUGACGGAGCAACGCCGCGUGAGGGAUGAAGGCCUCUGGGCUGUAAACCUCUUUUAUCAAGGAAGAAGAUCUGACGGUACUUGAUGAAUAAGCACCGGCUAACUCCGUGCCAGCAGCCGCGGUAAUAC
rnacentral:rRNA from 1 species